rnacentral:lncRNA from 1 species
GUUCUGCAUGUCACAGAGGAAGUAGGCAUAUUUGAGGAAGACUUUCUCAAGGAUUUUUUUCAGAAGUUACACGGAAUAUGUCUGCCUCUCCUGUCUCACCUCCUUCACCUCUUCCACCUCUGCCACCCUGAGACAGCAAGAAAAACUCCACCCUUUUUUCCUCUUCCUGAGCCUAUCAACAUGAGGACAAUGGGAAUGAAGAUUUUAUGAUGAUCCACACCCACUAAGUGAAUAGGUCUCACCACUGCAGCCAUCAUCAAAAGUGGUUAUUACCAAGACUAGAUUGCAGCUCCGGACAGAGCAGCUGGCAGGGACUCAUAUUGUGAAUUGCAGCUCCAGCUCGACUGCAAGAACAAACCAGCAAUCCCGAGAGGACCCACAGACCCUCUAAAGGAAGUGGACUGCUCCUGCAGGACCUGGGAGACACCCCAAAUAUUAUCUAUAAACUCAAUUUUAGGAAGUCAAGUAUCUUCCCGAAAGUCACACAAGUAAAGAUGGACUUGGGUCUCUAAUCCAUUUGUUUGACUUCAAAACAUGUUAUCUCCAUUCCACUACCUCUUCUGUUCAGUGGAAUGAAAGAGGUUAAAACAGUUCACAGGGUCCAUGGAGUGAAUGAAAAAUGAAAAUGGGAAGAUAAAAUACAGAUUAUAGUUUUCAAGGAUUGGAGCUGGAAGGAGUUGCCUGUUUGAGAGCUGUGUUAAGGUCUGAGAAACAUGUGCAUGUUGUGCACUGCAAGAAAGGAAUCAAGAGGAAGGAGAGGAUGGAGAUAUAGAAGAUGAAAAUCAGCCAGAGUAACAAGGCUCCAGGAAAGCCACAUGGCUAUGUGCAUCCCUUAGAGAAACAAAUUGGAAAAAGGAAUUUUGAAUACAAGUAACAGACAGAGAAAAAUGGUACAAAGGGUUAAAAGCAGUCUUAGUAACAUUGGAGAUGUGGAGAGAAAAUUAGAAGAGAGAAGCAGAAAUAAGGAGGCCCUGAGUCACAAGUAAG